rnacentral:pre_miRNA from 1 species
CAAGUACUCCCUCCGUCCAAAAAUACUUGUCAUAUGAAUGGAUGUAUCUAGAUNNNNUUUAGUUCUAGAUACAUCCAUUUGUGUGACAAGUAUUUUCGGACGGAGGGAGUAGUCA